UCCAGGUAUGCUGCUUAGGGGAGGGCUUACAUUGUUAAGUGGGUAUUGUGGAAAGGGUUAAAUGUAAGAAGGUUAGGGUAGGACAUGUGAUAGGUGAAACAAAGGAAACUUUGGGGAGGAUGAGAGGAAAUACAAGUGAGUAUUGUAGAAUAAUUACAUCACCACUUUAGCAUACUUGAUGUGUGCCUGUCUGUAUCUAACAGUGACUGUCAGGAGGCAUAUCUCGUGUAGGUGUUAAGAGGAGUCCUCAAAUCUAGUUUUAGC